GCUCACUCUGAGGGGAGCCCCACGCGGGGGGCUGAGAGGCUGCGACAUCGGCGGCGACCCUUGAACCUGAUCCGGAUCAUGCCGGCGGAGGGACAGGGAUGGACGUUGCA
rnacentral:ncRNA from 1 species